CCUCUUAUUUUAGGUAAUGUUCUGGCACUCAAAGACAAUCAGCAUUUAAAAUUUGUAUUUAAAUGCUCUUUUGGAAUUUGAAGUGGAAAAUUAUUGCCAUUGAUGCAAUUUGGAUAUUUCAUCUAACCUGCCUAGGUUGAACAGAAAUGUAAAAGGUUAUAAAUGUUGGUGUUAAAAAAGUGAUCAGCAAUUUGGGCAAGAAAAUUUUCAAAGUUUCUGGUUGUGCUGGAAAUAGCAUUUGUUGGCACCAUGGAUGGGAUACCGUGUGCACUCUUUUACACAAGGAAGAGUAUAAUAAUUAGGGUGUCCAUUUCAUCAAGAGUUUGCAACUUUAGAUGUCGCACCCGAAUAUGAACAAACCUCUCAAUGAUUUGGUAUUAUAUCAGUAUUGGUACAUAGUCAGCUCAAACGCAAACCAGGCUGCUGUGGAUGGGAAUCGCGAUUAUAGAUGGAUUUCUUGUGGAUGAGAACUACACUAGAUGGCUAUGUAGUGGAUAAAAAUAAUCACACUAGAUGGCGUUUGUGUGGUUGGAACGCCCCCUAGAUGUCGGUGCUGCGAUUCGAAAUCCAUCCGCUAGAUGGCGAUAAAUCAACUUAACAGACGACGAUUCCUAGUGUUGAAAAUCCAUCCGCUAGAAGGUGUUUGUUGACGUUGGAAAUCUGUUCGCUAGAUGGUGGUUUUGCUGUUGAAAUUCAAACCUCUAGCUGGCGGUUAGCUGUUGAAAAUCAACCCGCUAGAUGGCGGUUAGUACUGGAUUGCCUCAUGACAGUACAUCCCAGCCUCCUGGAGCGUCUGUGUACUGGCAUACUACUUGGCCAUAUCAGUUCCACAGGUUUCUACAGCCGUGACCCGAGUGCUCAUCGCAUUCUUCAAACCCUGGUGUGCUAGUGAAGUUUUAGUUUUUAACUGAGGUGGAUGUGGGACUUCAGGUUUGCAUCAUGCUGCUUUCACGUAGAGGAUCCUCGUUAUCGAGAUAAACAAUUGGAAGCGCUAUCUGAAGUGUAUGAAGCAAUGUUACCCAUAGACAAUCAGAUGUCUAGAAUUGAAUUGAUUCAUUGUAUUACCUAAAAGGUUGUCUGUGAAAUAUUUUGUGCAACAAUACCAUCCCUUAAUUAAAGAUUCUUUUUCACUGUUUCGGGACUAGGCGCUAUUACAGGUAGCGGGCAGUGAAGUGGCAAAACAUGGAAUCUUGAUAGUAGUAGUAUAGUUUCAUAUUUUAGUGUUCAGGAAUAAGUCAUUGCAACUCAGUUAAAGUAAGCUACUGCGAGAGAAUACAUAGUGCUUGCCGUACAGCCAACCCGUUUACAACAUCGAUUGCGUGACGCUCUAAAUUCAGCUUAUUGUAAUGGUGUACACACAUUAAUAAUGACCAGAAUAAUGAUGAUGAGGAAUGAACUGGGCAUUGAAAUAUUGGGACAUAAGGCAUAGAGCUGUUUAUUUGGGAAAAAAAAUGGUUAGCAAAGGAAAGGUUACCUUAAACCAAUAGUGGG